rnacentral:lncRNA from 1 species
CUGGAAUGUUCCAGCUGUGUUGGCGAGGGCGGGCAGCCAGACUCCUGGUGGGCAUUUCCUCAGUGAUCCCAGCUCCCACUGCUCUCCCACAGUGCCUUACUUGAUGUAUCAGCCCACCUCCAAACCUACAGCAAACGUCCUCUCAGAGGAGCGCUGGGAUCUGGCACUGCUGACAGAUCCUUGCCCCUUUAAAAGAGAUGAAGUCAUCUGCCUCCGAAGCCAUCUGGCACCAGGACAGAGUCAGAAGCUCAGUGCAACAGAAGGCUGGGAUGCCAGCCCGCAGAGGGGAUGUCAUCGCUCUACAGACAGAUGGGACCCUGAUGGGAUGGGGCGAGAUGCUGCUCAAGACCCCAGGAGAAGGUUUGGUGUCGUGGGGAAGGCAGUGAGGACUGGCAGAGUACCAAGGUGUGCCGUGGCCCCACUGCCACCAUGCAUGUGAGCAGAGCCCCACUGGAGGGCUGGAGCUGCUGGUUUUCCUGGGAGGACAGUGGGCUGUACCAGGCCCUCGCCGUGGGGUGAGCUGGCAGUCAGCGUGUCUCCUCCUCCCCCUCCAUCCGUCCGUGCAGAGCAGGCAUGAGCUCAUCCCGAGCCACUGGUCCUGCACCCUGUGCCGGAUGGCUGAUCUCAUGGAUGGCUGAUCUCAUGGAUGGCUGAUCUCAUCGCUGGCCGUGCCACCAGGACUGACUCCGGAGCGGCGUGUCACCGCAGUCCCCGACAGGACACCGUGGGAAGAGGAGCCACCAUGUCCCAGCAAGGCUUGGGGAGAUGAUCUCAAGCAAAACUGCCCACCAGUGACAGUGGUGGGUGGUGGGGGACGAGGUGAAUUCCUUGCUGGCAUGCCCAGGGAACAGCCUCUCACUUCCAGGUCUGGCAGGAGGCUUCUGUCUCAGUAUUGCUGGCCGUUCCCAGAUGCCUCGGGUAUCACAGACUCCUCAACACUCCUGGUGUGACUAGCUCAGGAGCUGCCUCCCUUCACAGGACUUUGCUUGGUCAUGCUCUUGUGCACCAGGAAUGUCUUUCUGAAGUUGCUGUACUGGACCCCAUUCUCCCCACCAUGCGCUGCAAGACCUGGGGGCUUCUAGCCAAGGCAGGGGUCCAGUAAGUGCCUCCUCCUGGCCCAGUUUUGCAGGAAGGAGCUGGGGCUGUGAUGGGUGGAUUAACACAGAUGUGCUUUUCCACCACCCCGGCUGAAAACCCAAACUUCAGCUUGAUGUUCAUGGAAGAGAUUGGUGGGGGUGGCAGUGAAUAAUAGAGGAGGGGACAACGUGGGAAUUGCUUGGGAUUUUCUGGGAGGUGGGGAUAGAGGACAGUGAGUUAAUUUAUCUGAAGGGUAGAGCAAGGAUGAGAAGUUAAAUUACAACUCCAUAGUUCAGGUGUCUGUCCAGGGAGAAUGAGCCAUUCUCAGGAGAUGAGUCUCUCCCCUCACUGAUGCCACACAACCAGCUUGGACUGGAUGUUUAACUUUUAGUCCAGUGCUCUGGAUCGUGUGCUGGGAUUGCACGGACACUGCGAGAUCAGGCACAGGCAGAGCAGGGUCUGCCCACACUCUUGCUUCACUCAGAUGUCUCUGGUUUACCUGGCUUGAGCAGAAACUCUUUCAAAGUGGAGAUUAACUUUGAAGUAGGGAAAUUUGUUCUGGUCUGGCCUGAAAAAUCCUGGACCCCCAACUCUUUUCCCUAGGAAAGACCACUCCUCUCCUGCUUUGUCUUGCUUUGGGAAAAAAGUUCUGUUCUACUCCAGCUCAAAUCUUUUGUACUCUCUCCUUUGCAUUGCAGUCUGUAAAUGUUUGUCUGUUAAUUUGUUAACCCCCAGACCCAGACUGCCAUGCUUCCCUCUCAGAUCCUUGCUCUCUUACUUCUCCUUUGCCUUGGUGCUUAGGCCUGACACCCAGUCUUGCCUGGCAGAGAAACCAGCCUGGAAGUUCCUUGCUCCAAGGGCAUUAUAAAGAGGCGCCAUUGUGCAACGGAGCCGUGUACCAGGAAUACAAUCCAUGUGAUGAUUAUCUCGAUACCAUCCUCACUGAACCAGGGCAGCCUGAGCCAAAAGAGGAAUUUAGAGCUAAACAGCUUUUGUUUACAGGAAGCCAGAGCACAGUGUCUGGGCUUGUACCAGUGUAGCAGGAGAUGUAGCUACUGUCUCAGACUGCAAACUAUUGAUGGAUGGUGUGUCCCUGAGAUUUCCCAGGGAUGUUAUGGGAGCAAUCUCCCUAAUUUCUGAAGCAUCUAGUCCAGGAGCCCGAGGGGAAAAGUGUUUCCUUUGGCUGACUGGACAACCAAGGAAAGGUCAUCAGCUUUAUUGACUGCUGUGUUUGGCCAUGCUCACCCACAGGCGUUGCAACCUCUGCAGCAGUCUGUGCCUUGGGAUGGGAAAAGCCUGGGUCUCAGGUGUGUUGUAAAGGGCAGUGGCCACCAAGGGACACAGUACCAGUAGCCCAAACCUCCAUGAAUUUGUGCUACUGAACAAAUCCACUGUCCAAAAUCCCACUGAUUUUGCACAGGCUAGCAAAAGAGAGGAGACAAACGUCUCUCCCAAUACUCAAGCUACUUUUCAGGGGACACUAUUGUUUUCCUUCUGGGUUUGCAAAACCACAGUCCUACAGGAAAAAAAAAGCUGGUGGACUGCUCUGCAGAAAGAGGAAAAGAGCCUCAUCUCCAAGGCUUGUCCUGCUCAGGACAAGGAAACAAACAAUUGAGAGAGAAAAUCAAAAUGUCUAACUGCUCUCCAGAUGUGAGGGAGGGCUUGCCCACAUCUGGCAGGGAGUGUUUCACAAUGGGAACAGCUUUCCUCAGCCCUCGGCACACGGCUGGGGGUGGCUCUUGUACCCACAAACAGGAUGGUCCAGUUCCUGUGGAGGCACAAGAUCUGUUUGGGCAGUUCCAUGAGUCAGAGAACAUUUACCAAGACCUUUUUGUGUCAGGAAAUGUAUUUUGAUGAAAAAAGGAAGACAUUUAAAAUAAAUUGAAAUAAUAAUAAUAAAAAAAAAGGAGU